rnacentral:rRNA from 1 species
GGGUUGUGAGGUUAAGCGACUAAGCGUACACGGUGGAUGCCCUGGCAGUCAGAGGCGAUGAAGGGCGUGCUAAUCUGCGAUAAGCGCCGGUAAGGUGAUAUGAACCGUUAUAACCGGCGAUACCCGAAUGGGGAAACCCAGUGUGACUCGUCACACUAUCAUUAACUGAAUCCAUAGGUUAAUGAGGCGAACCGGGGGAACUGAAACAUCUAAGUACCCCGAGGAAAAGAAAUCAACCGAGAUUCCCCCAGUAGCGGCGAGCGAACGGGGAGGAGCCCAGAGCCUGAAUCAGCAUGUGUGUUAGUGGAAGCGUCUGGAAAGACGCGCGAUACAGGGUGACAGCCCCGUACACAAAAGCGUAUGUGCUGUGAGCUCGAUGAGUAGGGCGGGACACGUGGUAUCCUGUCUGAAUAUGGGGGGACCAUCCUCCAAGGCUAAAUACUCCUGACUGACCGAUAGUGAACCAGUACCGUGAGGGAAAGGCGAAAAGAACCCCGGCGAGGGGAGUGAAAAAGAACCUGAAACCGUGUACGUACAAGCAGUGGGAGCACAGGUUUACCUGUGUGACUGCGUACCUUUUGUAUAAUGGGUCAGCGACUUAUAUUCUGUAGCAAGGUUAACCGAAUAGGGGAGCCGGAGGGAAACCGAGUCUUAAUUGGGCGUUAAGUUGCAGGGUAUAGACCCGAAACCCGGUGAUCUAGCCAUGGGCAGGUUGAAGGUUGGGUAACACUAACUGGAGGACCGAACCGACUAAUGUUGAAAAAUUAGCGGAUGACCUGUGGCUGGGGGUGAAAGGCCAAUCAAACCGGGAGAUAGCUGGUUCUCCCCGAAAGCUAUUUAGGUAGCGCCUCGUGAAUUCAUCUCCGGGGGUAGAGCACUGUUUCGGCUAGGGGGU